rnacentral:tRNA from 1 species
AAUAAAGUGCCUGAUAAAAGGAUUGUUUUGAUAGAGCAAAUGAUGUAGAUUUUACCUUUAUUA